GACGAACGCUGGCGGCGUGCUUAACACAUGCAAGUCGAACGGAAAGGCCCUGCUUUUGUGGGGUGCUCGAGUGGCGAACGAGUGAGUAACACGUGAGUAACCUGCCCUUGACUUUGGGAUAACUUCAGGAAACUGGGGCUAAUACCGGAUAGGAGCUCCUGCUGCAUGGUGGGGGUUGGAAAGUUUCGGCGGUUGGGGAUGGACUCGCGGCUUAUCAGCUUGUUGGUGGGGUAGUGGCUUACCAAGGCUUUGACGGGUAGCCGGCCUGAGAGGGUGACCGGCCACAUUGGGACUGAGAUACGGCCCAGACUCCUACGGGAGGCAGCAGUGGGGAAUAUUGCACAAUGGGCGGAAGCCUGAUGCAGCAACGCCGCGUGCGGGAUGACGGCCUUCGGGUUGUAAACCGCUUUCGCCUGUGACGAAGCGUGAGUGACGGUAAUGGGUAAAGAAGCACCGGCUAACUACGUGCCAGCAGCCGCGGUGAUACGUAGGGUGCGAGCGUUGUCCGGAUUUAUUGGGCGUAAAGGGCUCGUAGGUGGUUGAUCGCGUCGGAAGUGUAAUCUUGGGGCUUAACCCUGAGCGUGCUUUCGAUACGGGUUGACUUGAGGAAGGUAGGGGAGAAUGGAAUUCCUGGUGGAGCGGUGGAAUGCGCAGAUAUCAGGAGGAACACCAGUGGCGAAGGCGGUUCUCUGGGCCUUUCCUGACGCUGAGGAGCGAAAGCGUGGGGAGCGAACAGGCUUAGAUACCCUGGUAGUCCACGCCGUAAACGGUGGGUACUAGGUGUGGGGUCCAUUCCACGGGUUCCGUGCCGUAGCUAACGCUUUAAGUACCCCGCCUGGGGAGUACGGCCGCAAGGCUAAAACUCAAAGGAAUUGACGGGGCCCCGCACAAGCGGCGGAGCAUGCGGAUUAAUUCGAUGCAACGCGUAGAACCUUACCUGGGUUUGACAUGGAUCGGGAGUGCUCAGAGAUGGGUGUGCCUCUUUUGGGGUCGGUUCACAGGUGGUGCAUGGCUGUCGCCAGCUCGUGUCGUGAGAUGUUGGGUUAAGUCCCGCAACGAGCGCAACCCUUGUUCACUGUUGCCAGCACGUUAUGGUGGGGACUCAGUGGAGACCGCCGGGGUCAACUCGGAGGAAGGUGGGGAUGACGUCAAGUCAUCAUGCCCCUUAUGUCCAGGGCUUCACGCAUGCUACAAUGGCUGGUACAGAGAGUGGCGAGCCUGUGAGGGUGAGCGAAUCUCGGAAAGCCGGUCUCAGUUCGGAUUGGGGUCUGCAACUCGACCUCAUGAAGUCGGAGUCGCUAGUAAUCGCAGAUCAGCAACGCUGCGGUGAAUACGUUCCCGGG
rnacentral:rRNA from 1 species